ensembl:lncRNA
UGUGCAGCCAUGUCUCCAUGGAGGAGGCGCUCAUACGGGAUUUAUUCCAAACCACCUGAACACAUAGGCUCCAGCAGGAGAACCCUCAUCCUAUUUGCGGCUCAGGCGGCCAUAAAUGAGUCUAGGAAAUUUGUCCUGUGAGCGUUAAAUCGCUUGGCCAGUUUUGCAACAUGGGAGAAUUCUGAUGGAGAUGGCUGGGAUUGGAGUCUGCCUUCAUCUUCCCCAGGUGCAUCUAACAGUUGCCACAGGCAUGAGGAAGACUCUGGAACAAAGCAUUCUUCCCCACUCUCUCCACCCUCUCACGUCUCUGGACAGACUCAGCUAAAUGUGGGGUUCAUGGAUGCAACAAAGAAAGAAAAUCACAGCAACUAAUGACCAAGAGGAAUUGUCCUACCUUAUAUUUUUUCAAGAAUCACGAAUGCAUAUUUUACCACAAAAGCUUCACUUCUCUCUAUGUCUCUGAAGUUCAGGGAGACACCUCCUCCCAUUACUACUUUGCAAUGGGAAGCAAUUGCAAAGAGCAAGACAACACAAGCAGCUGGAGGUCUUUCUCACCUUCCA